GCUUCAGUGGCACGGUUUUCAGCCUGAAUAAUUAGGAUUACAUAUAAAUGAAUAUGACCAAAAUUGAACCUAAGAUAAAAUAUUUGAGGACAAAAUAUGAACUGAAAAUUCAAGGAAACAAGUUAGUGAACAUAAAAUGAUAUUAACUUAAAACAUUUUAAAAAAUGUUUCAAAUGAAAUAUCCUGCCACAGCUACAAUAAUUUAAGAAAUUUAUACCAAGCAUCUUUCAAAAUUGACAUCAGCCAGCUGAAACUUGCUUACACAGCUACAAAAUACUGUAGGAACAAUCAUGCCUUAUACUUACAUCCUUAAGCCUCUGUGUCAAGUC